ensembl:lncRNA
GUAAUGUUCUCAUUAUAUUCCGAUUUAGUAGCUUUGAUAUAUGACUCUAAACUGCACUGCAUAUUAAAGCAGUCUGUGUACAGUUCAUUACGUGAUCUACAGAUGAAUUAUAAUCUUUCUGCGGUGCAACAGUGAGUGCUUCUCAGACCAUCUAUGACAGUUAGAUAUCAGCUUUUUCCACUGGGGAGCAAAACACCCAAACCGCCAUGGAAAAGAAAGCUUUUAUCUUCAAAAAAAUAUGGGGACAUGACUACCUCAUGGCUGAGCAAAAAAUAAAUAAAUAAAAAACAAUAAAAAUGGAUGGCCAGUGGGGGAGAUGAAGGAUUAAUGACAGAGCUGCUGGAUAGACAGGAGGAUAUUUACUUCCAAGCCACCUACAUAUCUUCAGCUUUAUUAGAAUAGCAUCGGGGGAGGCAGCACAGGCUCCUUUCAGGUAAAUGUCACUGCUUUCUUCGAUGAUACCGCAAUUCCUCUCAGCCCACUGAAGCUGCCUCGUUGCCUCUUGGGAAGUCAAGGGCCUGUUUUGAAUGCCACUCUCUGACCACGAGAGUGCUUGGUUUCCUCAAUAUGGGUCCGGUUAUUUGUUUGUGUUUCAACUUGUGGCUGAGUGGAGAUUUAAGUCCUUGUUUGGGAAGAGACACCAAAGGGACACGACCCCAUUGUACGAGAAAAACACAAACCCACAAACUCAGGAGAAAAACAAGUGGGACGGAAAAAGAAGGGAAUAUGUUUCUGCUUUGCUGCUCUGUUUAAGUUUACCUGUAUUUCACUCAGAAUCAUUAUAAUCAAAGAAACAAACUAGUUAUGGUUGAAUUAUAGAUAUGAUUUCGAUGUUGGCUCGGCAUACUUCUUAACUCAUCUGGGCUGCACACUCUUAUUAGACUUUUGAGAUAGAAAAGGUUUGUGUUGACGAUUGAUUACAAGCAAAUCAUUUCCAAUCGAGAGAAGAAUGUCAAGCAAAAAAAAAAAAAAAAAAAACGUGCUGGGUAUAUGAUUGGGUGGGGACAAGAGCAGAACGACCCCUGUACUGACCGGAGCAAGCAUCAGCAAGAUCAGACAUUAACAGUGAUUAAGUCCGACACAGCAUGAGAGGGAGGAGCAGGGGUGGAGAUGGGUUGUGAAUCAGUGUGCAGCUUAAAUGCCCUGAGUGAGAUUUGCCAGUAGGAUGCGUGCAAGUGCAUCAGCUAAGCCUGCACUGUCAGCCUGUUCUGGGGUCAGCUCAUCUGCCAAGACUAUGUUCAAUUUAUAGAGAACAUUUUGUUACUUCUUUAUAAUAUGGGGGGGUUUGAUUGGAUUAUGUGAACGAAUGAAAUUGCCAACAUGAUUUUAGCUUAAAAUAUUUCCUCUGAGCAGUCUGACAUGGGACUUUGAGUGAAUCACCUGCCAAAAAG